UACGUAGGGUGCAGGCGUUAAUCGGAAUUACUGGGCGUAAAGCGUGCGCAGGCGGUCUUUUAAGUCAGAUGUGAAAUCCCCGGGCUUAACCUGGGAACUGCGUUUGAAACUGAAAGGCUAGAGUGUGGCAGAGGGGGGUGGAAUUCCACGUGUAGCAGUGAAAUGCGUAGAGAUCGGGAGGAACACCUGUGGCGAAGGCGGCCGACUGGGCCGACCCUGACGCUGAGGCGCGAAGGCGUGGGGAGCGAACGGG
rnacentral:rRNA from 1 species